CCUGGCCUUGACAUACUAAGAACUUUCCAGAGAUGGAUUGGUGCCUUUCGGGAACUUAGAUACAGGUGCUGCAUGGCUGUCGUCAGCUCGUGUCGUGAGAUGUUGGGUUAAGUCCCGCAACGAGCGCAACCCUUUUCCUUAUUGCCAGCGGGUUAAGCCGGGAACUUUAAGGAUACUGCCAGUGACAAACUGGAGGAAGGCGGGGACGACGUCAAGUCAUCAUGGCCCUUACGGCCAGGGCUACACACGUGCUACAAUGGUCGGUACAAAGGGUUGCUACCUCGCGAGAGGAUGCUAAUCUCAAAAAGCCGAUCGUAGUCCGGAUCGCAGUCUGCAACUCGACUGCGUGAAGUCGGAAUCGCUAGUAAUCGCGGAUCAGAAUGCCGCGGUGAAUACGUUCCCGGGCCUUGUACACACCGCCCGUCACACCAUGGGAGUUUGUUGCACCAGAAGUAGGUAGUCUAACCGCAAGGAGGACGCUUACCACGGUGUGGCCGAUGACUGGGGUGAAGUCGUAACAAGGUAAGCGUAGAUGA
rnacentral:rRNA from 1 species